AUAUAUAUAUAAUAAUGAAUGUAAAUAUUUCAUUAAUAAUGAAAAUAGUUAGGAAUUACAAUGAAGUAAAACCUAUAGAUUGGUCCCAUGACAAAAAAAAAAAGAUAAAAAAAAACAUGGAAGCAAAUAUCAAUCAGUCUAUCUACAUAAGCAGUGAUGCUACUCGAAUCAAUGAAGUAUUAAACCCAAUCAGUCCAUAAACAUCAACAAAAACAAUUACGCUUUUGGAGUUCAUGAAGUGAUAAAACAAUUUUAAGAUUCACCAAGAUGAAACCUCAAGGAGAAGAAAAACAUGUUGUCAAACGGCAAUGACCGCUUCAAAGAAAACCAUAGCCAAUGGAAGCCUUUCACCGGUAGUCCGAAAAAACUGAGCUGUCAACGGUUUAGAACAUAGAGCUCUCAAUCACUGACUCCCUCUUCAUCAAGUGAGAGACGUUUUUUGAUCAAUCCAUGAGCUUGCUCAGAGCGGAACUACAUAAACCACAGGAAAACGAAAGCACUAGCUCCCUCUACUAAGCUCAUUCCCCGAGGUCGGCUAGCACAGAGCAAAUCUAACAAUACAACCAAACGCUUAACAAUCCUAAGGUUUUACUAGCUCAUCCAGCAGCCAAGUUUACUAAUCCACAAAUCAAAGCACAAGCUAACAACAAUUCUUCUCCACAAAGAGGAACACACUAAAGGAACACGACAAACCAAAACUAAACAGCACCAGAGAGCUCCUAGCACCAAACGGAGUAGCAAGAGGUCAAGAUCAAGGAGCAUUACCAAAAGCAGGAUCGUUGGAGUGCGAAAAAGGAGAAGGCUCCUAAGCAGCUAAAACUGGCUAGCUAAACCAGCGGAAAUGAGAGAAGUGACACCGGCAUCGCUCGACUCCCUGAAUAGUCACACGUUCAGGACAAAGUCCAAAAGCUCACACACCUGACUCAGUCGCACCUUAAAGGUGACCCAAAAGUUAUCCGAGAAUCAAGCAAAAGCACUUGAUAGAGAGCCAUUGAAGAACCAAGCUCCAAGAAAACUCUUAGGCCUGAUGCAAACAUAAAGAGACAAAAGCAACCCUCCACAAAUCCUUUGUGAACUUUACACAAACAGAUCAGAAUAGGAAAGUGCACAACACGCCACAACAACUGCCGAGACAAGCAAGAACCGCCAUAGGAGAAACACGAGAGAAGAAGCGAUUUACCAAAGUAAAUCCGCCGGUCGAGAUGUGAGACGCUAGGUUGAGGAACAGGUCUUCGCUGAUUUCCUUCACCGUCGACAAGCAAAGGAGGCUAAGCGGAGAAGCACCACACCACCAAAAGUGGCCGUCACGCACGGCGGAUUAUCCCCAAAGCCGUGAGAAAACAGAGCCAACUCAAAAGAGUUAGAUCUAAUCCUGCGACAAGACGAAUAACAAAGUAAAAGAGAAAGGGCCGUCUCACGGCACCGGUCGCGACCGGACACCGGAGAGGCAAUCGAAGCAGCGGCGAACUGAAAACAUUUUGGUAGGGUUGGAGAGAAAAGUCGAUGCGCGUAUACUUCACGCGCCCGACUUCACGUUUUUUCUAACCCCAUAAUUAUCGUCAUGCAUUAUUUCGGAGGUUAAACAUAGAAUUGACAAUCAAAAUAUAGUAGUACCA
rnacentral:lncRNA from 1 species